GCUAUUUUGACAGAAUAAUGUCUUAAAUUUAGAAUUUAAUUAAAUGUAAAAAAAUUACAUAAAUAGUA
rnacentral:tRNA from 1 species